GUUCCCGUAGUCCAGUGGCAAAGGAUAGAAGCCUCUCGAACUUUCUGUCACAGGUUCAAAUCCCGUCGGGAGCG
rnacentral:tRNA from 1 species